UCUCUGUAGGACUAGUGGUUAGGCCUCGGCACUGUCACUGCCCUGGCCUGGGUUCGAUCCCUGGCCAGGGAA